rnacentral:lncRNA from 1 species
UUUGUUCUGCUAUAGUUAAACUUGUUGUCUAUUGUAUUCUAUCAGUUUAACACUGUUGAAGGCUAACGAUAAUUUAUUCUGCAUUAUCUUAAUCAUAACAUUUCUUACUGGGCUAGUUGAGCUCACCCUUUUGCUUUCAUUGUUUUCUUCCGGAAAUGAGAACGUAGCUAGGACUAGUCGGAGAAUGGAGUGACGGUCCGAGAUGGUGG